rnacentral:lncRNA from 1 species
CAAAGUAUUCUAUGAACUGUCUUUUGGUAGAGUAUCAAUGACUCAAUCCAAGUUUCAAGUUCAAGUCUCAAAUAUUAAUUGCAAGAUCAAAUUUUGAGAUCAAGGUACCCACCAGAAGAAGGUGAGGCAAUAACUGAAGAUCCAAGAGGAAGACCGGAAGCAAGAAGAUCAAGACAAAUAGAAUAGACAGGAUCUUGUACUUUUAUUUCCAGUUUUACAUUUUUGAUGUAAUAAAAAGAGCCACGAACCGGAAACUCGAUGGGACCUCAACUCGACUCUCCAACUCAUCCAUUCAUUCCACUCUUACACCCAUUUAAAUUACACGUGACCUGAUCUCUUAUAACCCGAGAUAUGUAGGAUGCCCAAAGCCAGGGCUCGGUCACACCUUUUUCCUACUUAUUUACGUAUUACUUUUGAAUAAAUGGUUGGGCCAAAAAUUAGUCCUGUUCACUUCUUUGCUUGGAAAUUCUCCAUAUUUUCAAGCAAAGAAGGGGCAUUCUGUAAACACCUAAUUUUUGACCAAACUGAAUGUUUUACGUCAUUUAGUAUCUUAUUUUACAAGAUUGCUUUUAAAGUUUGGAAAACUACAAAAUAAAGUCAUAUUAAAAUAAGUUUUUUAUUUAUUUAUUUUUAUUACUUAUUUAUUUAUUUAAAAAAAAAAAAGAAGAAGAAGAAGUCAAAUCCUAAAUCUACCCAAACCACCCACAAUCCCCCACUCCUAAUCAACCUCCCCCACUAUCCCNN